rnacentral:rRNA from 1 species
UACGAAGGGGGCUAGCGUUGUUCGGAAUCACUGGGCGUAAAGCGCACGUAGGCGGAUGUGUCAGUCAGGGGUGAAAUCCCGGAGCUCAACUUCGGAACUGCCUCUGAUACAGCACGUCUUGAGUUCGAGAGAGGUGGGUGGAAUUCCUAGUGUAGAGGUGAAAUUCGUAGAUAUUAGGAAGAACACCGGUGGCGAAGGCGGCCCACUGGCUCGAUACUGACGCUGAGGUGCGAAAGCGUGGGGAGCAACAGG